rnacentral:rRNA from 1 species
CCCUUAGAUGUCCGGGGCUGCACGCGCGCUACACUGUAGAAAGCAGCGUGCUUUAAAACCUUUCCUGAAAAGGAUGGGUAACCCCAGCAAAAUUCUAAGUGCUUGGGAUAGAGAUUUGCAAUUUUCUCUCUUGAACGAGGAAUUCCCAGUAAGUGCGAGUCAUCAGCUCGCGUUGAUUACGUCCCUGCCCUUUGUACACACCGCCCGUCGCUACUACCGAUUGGGAAAAUUUUAGAGAGUCCUGGACUGAUGAUUGUUCGGCUUCACGGCCUUACUUUCGUCGGGAAAGAAUUCGAUAAUAUUUUUCUAGAGGAAGUAAAAGUCGUAACA